rnacentral:rRNA from 1 species
AUGCCUGCUUCUCUAGGUCUCCUAUCAAACCUCACAUCUCUCAACGUUACCCAUAACAAUCUGACUGGUGAUAUUCCCAUGUCAUUCUCCAACCUCACAGCUCUCACGAACCUUAGCAUGCGUAGCAACUACUUCCAUGGCCAAAUCCCCAGCUGGCUCGGCAACCUGACUUCACUGACACACUUAGGAUUAUCCCAGAACAGUUUCAAUGGCCAUCUCUCUCCAGCUCUUGGUAAGAUGGCUAAUCUUGUUAUAUUUGACAUCACAGCUAACAGACUGGAAGGCCCUUUUCCUCCAUCCUUGUUCAAUCUUUCUUCCGUCACAGACUUCCGCAUCAGCUUCAACCAGUUUUCAGGAUCUCUGCCGCUUGAUAUUGGCUUUAAGCUUCCCAAGCUACAUAUAUUCACCACAAAUGGGAACCAAUUCGUUGGACCAAUACCAGCCUCCUUGUCAAAUGCUCCGCACUUAAAGAUUUGUUUUUUCGCGGAAAUCAGCAUCAUGGGCUGA